AAGAGAUUGUGUAAGAUGUCCUUCCAUCAGAGUUCUUCCUGAAUUGCUCCUUCCAGGAGACACAAGCACCAGUCUCUCAGUUUCAGUGGAAAAACACAGUGGAAGCUGCAUCCAGCUAUUGAAUGAAUCAAAGGGAUGUACUUGCAGUUCAUACCAUUGCUUCAGACAUGCCAAACCUUUGAGCCCAUCCAUUCUCCGAUUAUCAUCAUGGACCUUCCAUAAAAGACAGAGUCUUCAUUCCCCAGGAGUACUGACAGCUGACAGUUCACAGCUCAGUACUCCCUAUGUGUUCCUUGCACAUGGUCUUCACAGCCAAUGACUGGUGGACGACAGAGAUAAAGGCCUCGACUCUCUUGCUCACAGCUCCAGAGCUCCCCAAGGGAUUGGCGGUGGCCCUAGUACAGAUAGUUUUGCAGCCCUUCUUUGCACAGCUUGC